GAUGAACGCUGGCGGCGUGCCUAAUACAUGCAAGUAGAACGCUGAAGGAAGGAGCUUGCUCUUUCCGGAUGAGUUGCGAACGGGUGAGUAACGCGUAGGUAACCUGCCUGGUAGCGGGGGAUAACUAUUGGAAACGAUAGCUAAUACCGCAUAACAGUAGAUGUUGCAUGAUAUCUACUUAAAAGGUGCAAUUGCACCACUACCAGAUGGACCUGCGUUGUAUUAGCUAGUUGGUGAGGUAACGGCUCACCAAGGCGACGAUACAUAGCCGACCUGAGAGGGUGGUCAGCCACACUGGGACUGAGACACGGCCCAGGCUCCUACGGGAGGCAGCAGUAGGGAAUCUUCGGCAAUGGACGGAAGUCUGACCGAGCAACGCCGCGGGAGUGGAGAAGGUUUUCGGAUCGUAAAGCUCUGUUGUAAGGGAAGAACGAGUGUGAGAGUGGAAAGUUCACGCUGUGACGGUAUCUUACCAGAAAGGGACGGCUAACUACGUG
rnacentral:rRNA from 1 species